rnacentral:rRNA from 1 species
CGAACGCUGGCAGGCGUGCCUAACACAUGUAAGUCGAACGAUGAACCCUGCUUGCUGGGGAUUAGUGGCGCACGGGUGAGUAAUAGAUAGCUAAUAUGCCUCUUGGAGAGGGACAACAGUUGGAAACGACUGCUAAUACCUUAUAUUCCUGCUUUUCAUAAGAGAAGUAAGGAAACGAGUUUUGCCAAGAGAUUAGGCUAUCUCCUAUCAGCUAGUUGGUGAGGUAAGAGCUCACCAAGGCUAUGACGGGUAUCUGGUUUGAGAGGAUGAUCAGACACACUGGAACUGAAACACGGUCCAGACUCCUACUGGAGGCAGCAGUGAGGGAAUAUUGCACUAUGGAGGAAACUCUGAUGCAGCAACGCCGCGUGGAGGAUGACGGUUUUCGGAUUGUAAACUCCUUUUAUAUGGGAAGAUAAUGACUGUACCAUAUGAAUAAGCACCGGCUAACUCCGUGCCAGCAGCCGCGGUAAUACGGAGGGUGCAAGCGUUACUCGGAAUCACUGGGCGUAAAGAGAGUGUAGGCGGACUAUUAAGUCUUGUGUGAAAUCCUAUGGCUUAACCAUACAACGGCAUGAGAAACUGAUAUUCUAGAGUAUGGAAGAGGAAGAUGGAAUUAGUGGUGUAGGGGUAAAAUCCGUAGAUAUCACUAGGAAUACCGAAGGCGAAGGCGAUCUUCUGGGACAUUACUGACGCUGAGACUCGAAAGCGUGGGGAGCAAACGGGAUUAGAUACCCCGGUAGUCCACGCCCUAAACGAUGAAUGCUAGUCGUCGGGGAGCUUGUCUCUUCGGUGAUGCAGUUAACACAUUAAGCAUUCCGCCUGGGGAGUACGGUCGCUAGAUUAAAACUCAAAGGAAUAGACGGGGACCCGCACAAGUGGUGGAGCAUGUGGUUUAAUUCGAAGAUACGCGAAAAACCUUACCCAGCCUUGAUAUCCCAAUAAGAGUCCAGAGACGGACUCCUGCUAUCUUGCUAGAAAUUGGUGACAGGUGCUGCACGGCUGUCGUCAGUUCGUGUCGUGAGAUGUUGGGUUAAGUCCCGCAACGAGCGCAACCCCCGUGAUUAGUUGCUAACAGUUCGGCUGAGCACUCUAAUCAGACUGCCUCCGCAAGGAGGAGGAAGGUGGGGAUGACGUCAAGUCAUCAUGGCCCUUAUGGUUGGGGCAACACACGUGCUACAAUGGUAUGUUACAAUGAGAGGCAAUACCGCGAGGUGGAGCAAAUCUAUAAAACAUAUCUCAGUUCGGAUUGUAGUCUGCAACUCGACUACAUGAAGCCGGAAUCACUAGUAAUCGCAGAUCAGCUAUGCUGCGGUGAAUACGUUCCCGGGUCUUGUACUCACCGCCCGUCACACCAUGGGAGUUGAUUUCACCAGAAACCGGGAAGCUAACCUUCGGGAGGCUCCCGUUUUACGGUGGAAUUACAGAGUGGGGUGAAGUCGUAACAAGGUAUCC